UACGGAGGAGGCAAGCGUUAUCCGGAAUUAUUGGGCGUAAAGCGUCCGUAGAUGGUCGUUUCAAGUCUGCUGUCAAAGACCGGGGCUUAACCCCAGAAAGGCAGUGGAAACUGAAGUGCUAGAGUGCAGUAGGGGUAGAGGGAAUUCCCGGUGUAGCGGUGAAAUGCGUAGAGAUCGGGAAGAACAUCGGUGGCGAAAGCGCUCUGCUGGACUGCAACUGACACUCAGGGACGAAAGCUAGGGGAGCGAAUGGG
rnacentral:rRNA from 1 species